GGGCGAUUGGCGCAGCUGGCUAGCGCGCAUGCAUGACACGCAUGAGGUCACUGGUUCGAGUCCAGUAUCGCCCA
rnacentral:tRNA from 1 species